rnacentral:rRNA from 1 species
AGCGAACGUUAGCGGCGGGCCUAACACAUGCAAGUCGAGCGAGAAAGUGGCUUCGGCCACGAGUAAAGCGGCGGACGGGUGAGUAACACGUAGGUAAUCUUCCCUUGAGCGGGGGACAACGAGCCGAAAGGCUCGCUAAUACCGCAUACGUUUCCAGAGGCCCCGGUCUCUGGAAGGAAAGCUAGGCCGCAAGGUCUGGCACCCGAGGAGGAGCCUGCGUCGCAUCAGCUAGUUGGUGGGGUAACGGCCUACCAAGGCGAAGACGCGUAGCUGGUCUGAGAGGAUGAUCAGCCACACUGGGACUGAGACACGGCCCAGACUCCUACGGGAGGCAGCAGUGGGGAAUAUUGGACAAUGGGCGCAAGCCUGAUCCAGCCACGCCGCGUGAGUGAUGAAGGCCUUCGGGUCGUAAAGCUCUGUGGGGAGGGACGAACCGCUGCACGUUCAUAGCGUGCAGCAUGACGGUACCUCCUUAGCAAGCACCGGCUAACUUCGUGCCAGCCGCCGCGGUAA